ACACUACCACUUGAAUCCAUGUGUGCAAUUGUUCUCCUUCACCUCCUUCUUCCAUUUUCAUUAAUUUCCUCCUCCUUCUUCUUCCUCUUCCUUCUUCCUUCAGGGUGAUUUUCAGGUUCAUUGCUAAAAAGGUGGUAUGGAUAUAUAAGAGGGCACAAGAAAAUAAAAGGUGAUUUUCAGGUUCAUGACCACUCUCGCCAAAAGACUCUUUGAUCUGCCCCCAGAACAGUUGAGAAGCUUCGCACCAGCCACCUCCAAUUAACAAACACAUUCUUCAUUCUAGCUAACAAUUUUUAGUGUAUCUUGUUCCGUUUGGGUAAUUUUAAUUUUUUUUUUCUUAUUGAAUCAAACAUUAAAACACAGGAACACACAAAAUAUGUUUGUAAUAUCAUGUAAUAUAUUAAUUUUAUUAAAAACUUCUGUAAUAUAGGAAUGAUUUUGUCUUAACAUAUAAUAUAAUAUACACCCUGUUUAUAUCCUCUGUUAAUUGUAUAGUAAAUUUGGUAAUUUUGUUGGUGCAGGGAGAAUCAGUACAGGAUUGGAGAGAGAUCUCAACAUAUUUUUCAUGGUGCUUGCUACCAUACCACAAGACUUAGUUUGGGUAUGAUACAUGAGCUGAAGUGGACCAAUCAAACAAAUCUAAAGUGUAAUUAAUUAAGCAUUUUCUCCUUUUAUUUUUUUUCUGUGAAAUAAAUGUUAUUAAAAAUUACAUUCGUUACUUAGUAGUCCUUGGUUAAUAAAACAAUUGAGAAUGACCCUCCUCCUCCUCCUUCAUCAAGUUCUUCAUCUUCAUCAUCAAAAAAAUUUCCAGAAAAUCAAACUCUGCACAAUGACAAGCUUUGUUUGGCGAAACCCAGUAAAAACAAAACGAUAAAAAAACAUCCAAAAUCGAGAUCAGAGCACCACCGCUGUCAAGUUUGAAGCUUUGUAACAACCAUCAAAUUAGAGAAUCAAAAACCCCAAAACCCAGAAGGAAGAGGAGGAGGCACCGUCUUAGAUCUCUCGGUCGAUUUCGAAUCUCGAUCUACGAAGGAUGUGGGUUGAGCGAUGGUGGGGAUUCAACCCAGAUCAGACCAAACCCCAGAUCGAGGAGGAGGAACCAUCUUAGAUCUCUCCAUCGUUUUCCAAUUUCAAUCUGUGAAGGAAGUGGGUCAAGCUCUCUAUCUACAAAGGACGUGGGUCGAGCUUUUGGGGUCGAGGUCGAUGGGCGGUGGUGAGGAUUCAACGUCUGAG
rnacentral:lncRNA from 1 species